rnacentral:tRNA from 1 species
UGGCUUGUAGCUUAACGGAUAAAGCACUACGCUACGAACGUAGUAAAUAAGAGUUCGAUUCUCUUUGAGCCAU